AUUGAACGCUGGCGGCAGGCCUAACACAUGCAAGUCGAACGAGUGGCGGACGGGUGAGCAAUGUCUGGGAAACUGCCUGAUGGAGAGGGCUAACUACUGGAAACGGUAGCUAAUACCGCAUACCAUCGGAUGUGCCCAGAUGGGAUGAGCGAGUAGGUGGGGUAAAGGCUCACCGCGGCGACGAUCCCUAGCUGGUCUGAGUGGAGGACCAGCCAAACUGGAACUGUGACACGGACCAGCCGCCUACGGUAGGCAGCAGUGGGGAAUAUGGCGCAAUUGGCACAAGCCUGAUGGAGCCAUGCCGCGUGGAUGAAGAAGGCCUGCGGGUUGUAAGGUACUUUCAGUGGGGAGGCGUUACCCGCAGAAGAAGCACCGGCUAACUCCGUGCCAGCAGCCGCGGUAAUUC
rnacentral:rRNA from 1 species